GACGAACCGUGCGAACGUUGUUCGGAAUCACUGGGCUUAAAGGGCGCGUAGGCGGGUGAUCAAGUCUGUGGUGAAAUACUCCAGCUCAACUGGAGAACUGCCAUGGAUACUGGUCAUCUCGAGGAAGGUAGGGGCAUGCGGAACUGGUGGUGGAGCGGUGAAAUGCGUUGAUAUCACUAGGAACUCCGGUGGCGAAGGCGGCAUGCUGGACCUUUUCUGACGCUGAGGCGCGAAAGCCAGGGGAGCAAACGGG
rnacentral:rRNA from 1 species